rnacentral:rRNA from 1 species
GACGAACCGUGCGAACGUUGUUCGGAAUCACUGGGCUUAAAGGGCGCGUAGGCGGGUGACCAAGUCCGGGUGAAAUCUUUCGGCUUAACCGGAAAAGUGCCUUGGAUACUGGUCGCCUGGAGGAGGUAGGGGCAUGUGGAACUUCCGGUGGAGCGGUGAAAUGCGUUGAUAUCGGAAGGAACGCCGGUGGCGAAAGCGAACGUGCUGGCCCUCUUCUGACGCUGAGGCGCGAAAACCAGGGGAGCAAACGGGAUUAGAUG